rnacentral:rRNA from 1 species
GACGAACGCUGGCGGCGUGCUUAACACAUGCAAGUCGAACGGAAAGGCCCUGCUUUUGUGGGGUGCUCGAGUGGCGAAAGGGUGAGUAACACGUGAGUAACCUGACCUUGACUUUGGGAUAACUUCAGGAAACUGGGGCUAAUACCGGCUAGGAGCUCCUGCUGCAUGGUGGGGGUUGGAAAGUUUCGGCGGUUGGGGAUGGACUCGCGGCUUAUCAGCUUGUUGGUGGGGUAGUGGCAUACCAAGGCUUUGACGGGUAGCCGGCCUGAGAGGGUGACCGGCCACAUUGGGACUGAGAUACGGCCCAGACUCCUACGGGAGGCAGCAGUGGGGAAUAUUGCACAAUGGGCGGAAGCCUGAUGCAGCAACGCCGCGUGCGGGAUGACGGCCUUCGGGUUGUAAACCGCUUUCGCCUGUGACGAAGCGUGAGUGACGGUAAUGGGUAAAGAAGCACCGGCUAACUACGUG